AAAAAAAAAAAUUUAAAGUCUGAACUUUCAUUGCCUUCUAUGGAGCUGUCAACACUAAGGGGAGAAGUUGGGCCCAAGCUGCUAGCAGGAGUCCUGUGGCUCUAGGAAACAGAUUCUUCUCAGGACACCAAUUGCUUCACUGGAGUGGAUCAGCCACACUUUGACCUGGGCCCGCCCUGCCCAGAGCAGGGGGAAGGACAGCAGCCUCAAAUUUGGACGUCUCAGCUCCUCCAUAACAAAACACUCAUUCCAUUCCAGGAAGUCACGAACCCUGGCAUGGUCCUUGCCUAAGCCUAGCCCAUACAGCUGAGGAAUUUUCUC